rnacentral:rRNA from 1 species
AUGACGAUCUUGAAGAAGAACACAAGCCUCCCAAUUUUGGUGGCACUGAUAGUCAUGGCUAAUGUCCUCUACUUUUGCAUUGCAAACAAUGAGAUAGAGACAAAUGAUCUGCCCCUACCAGCAAAAUGCUACGAGAUGCCUCUCCCAAACUGCACGGAGAAGGCGUGCCAGGAACUUUGCCAAGACCCUAAAGGAUCAUGCGACAAACUCUACACAUACUUUUGUUGUUGUCCAAUUUCCUAA